CCUGCCCACUGAUUUAUUAAAUGGCCGCAGUAAUUUGACUGUGCAAAGGUAGCAUAAUCAUUAGUUUUUUAAUUAAAAGCUUGUAUGAAGGGUUGGACGAAGUAAAUUCUGUCUCUAUUUGAUUUAUAGUAGAAUUUAAUUUUUAAGUUAAAAAGCUUAAAUUUUUAUAAAAGACGAGAAGACCCCAUAGAUCUUUAUAUUUUUAUAAAUAAUUUUAAUUAAGAAUAUUUUAUUUUUUAUUUAUAAUAAUAUUUUAUUGGGGUAAUAAAGAGAUUUAAUUAAUUCUUUUUAAUAUAAAAUAUUAAUUAAUAAAUAUAUGAUCCAAUAAUUUUGAUUAUAAGAUUAAGUUACCUUGGGGAUAACAGCGUAAUUUUUUUAGAGAGUUCAUAUCGAUAAAAAAGUUUGCGACCUCGAUGUUGGAUUAAAAAUUAUUC
rnacentral:rRNA from 1 species